CCUACGGGUGGCAGCAGUGAGGAAUAUUGGUCAAUGGACGAGAGCCUGAACCAGCCAAGUAGCGUGAAGGAUGACUGCCCUAUGGGUUGUAAACUUCUUUUAUAUGGGAAUAAAAUGUUUCACGUGUGGGAUUUUGUAUGUACCAUAUGAAUAAGGAUCGGCUAACUCCGUGCCAGCAGCCGCGGUAAUACGGAGGAUCCGAGCGUUAUCCGGAUUUAUUGGGUUUAAAGGGAGCGUAGGUGGAUUGUUAAGUCAGUUGUGAAAGUUUGCGGCUCAACCGUAAAAUUGCAGUUGAAACUGGCAGUCUUGAGUACAGUAGAGGUGGGCGGAAUUCGUGGUGUAGCGGUGAAAUGCUUAGAUAUCACGAAGAACUCCGAUUGCGAAGGCAGCUCACUGGACUGCAACUGACACUGAGGCUCGAAAGUGUGGGUAUUAAACAGGAUUAGAUACCCUAGUAGUC
rnacentral:rRNA from 1 species